rnacentral:lncRNA from 1 species
GAUUAGAAUGGGAGUUACUCAUUCUCAUUCCCAUUCUCAUUCUCAUUUUAGAGUCCAAUUUCUCUCAAUCAAAUAUAACCUUAUUUCUAAUGCAUUACAAGUCCCUCAUGGAUUUAAUAUACAUAAAUUCCGGUGCAAAUAUAUCCAUUUUAUUCUCUCAAUCGGUCAUAUAUUACAUGCUGAUUAAGGGAUAAUCAACAAAAUAGC